rnacentral:rRNA from 1 species
UACGAGGGGGGCAAAUGUUGUUCGGAAUCACUGGGCGUAAAGGGAGCGUAGGCGGGUUUUUAAGUCAGGUGUUUAAUCCCGGGGCCCAACCCCGGACAGGCACUUGAAACUGGGAAUCUUGAAUAGGGGAGAGGUCGGUGGAAUUGGAGGUGUAGCGGUGGAAUGCGUAGAGAUCUCCAAGAACACCCGUUGCGAAGGCGGCCGACUGGACCCAUAUUGACGCUGAGGCUCGAAAGCGUGGGGAGCAAACAGG